CUGGGUAUGGCGCAGAUGGUAGCGCGCAUGAAUGGGGUUCAUGAGGUCGCUGGUUCAAAUCCAGUUACCCAGA
rnacentral:tRNA from 1 species